AUGCUGAGCAACAGUUCCAUGCCUUUAUCACAGCACAAUGAUACAAAACAGGAGGCAGAGAAAUGCAGCAUUCCUAGAGAAAUGGGGUUCUUUGAAGCUCUGUAUAUCCAGGGCAACCAGAACACCUCCAAGUGGAACACAGGUAUCCUGCAAGGGCACCCACACCUAAGGACAGGAUUUCAUAGCUGGGACAGCCUAAAGCCAGGCAGCAGGGAUGAUCCAUGGGAUGGUGCCUUGGGGAUGAUGCCUGCAGUACUCCUAAAAUACGGGAACAUGACUGAAGACAGAGCUGAGAGAAGCCUGGUAACUGACAGAAAAUAUCCCAGCAAUGGAUGAAGAAGCAAACGAAUAAAAUAAUGAAGUGAUAAGUCA
rnacentral:lncRNA from 1 species